rnacentral:rRNA from 1 species
AUUGAACGCUGGCGGCAUGCCUAACACAUGCAAGUCGAACGAGUGGCGGACGGGUGAGUAAUGUCUGGUAAACUGCCCGAUGGGGGGGGAAAACUACUGGAAAAGGUAUCCAAAACCGCAUUCUAUCGGUUGUGCCUAGCUGGGAUGAGCUGGUAGGGGGGGUAACGGCUCACCUCGGCGACGAUCCCUAGCUGGUCUGAGAGGAUGACCAGCAAAACGGGAACGGAGACACGGCCCAGACCCUAACGGGGGGAAGCAGUGGGGAAUAUUGCACAAGGGGGGAAAUCCGACUGCGGCCAUGCCGGGUGUAUGAAGAAGGCCUUCGGGUUGUAAAGUACGUUCAGCGAGGAGGCGUUACUCGCAGAAGAAGCACCGGCUAACUCCGUGCCAGCAGCCGCGGUAAUUC